rnacentral:lncRNA from 1 species
GCAGCACGAAAAACCUGAGCCAUUGCGGCAAGUCUAGCGCAGAGAGUAGAGGGUGCUGGAGAUGCCAGACGGUUGGUUCUGAGGAGAGAUUUUGCAACGCAAUGGAGCGAGGAAGGGAUCGUUUACACUUGAGAAGAACUACUGAACAGCACGUGCCAGAGAUUGAGGUCCAGGUCAAACGUAGAAGGACAGCCUCACUGAGCAACCAAGAGUGUCACUUGUACCCAAGGCGUUCUCAGCAACAGCAAAUUCCUGUGGUGGAUUUCCAGGCAGAACUGAGACAGGCGUUCUUAGCUGAGACACCAAGAGGUGGUUAAAGCAGUAUUGGAACUGUGGGGUGGUGGAAGUCAACAAAAACAGGACCUAUCCACUGAUUGUGAAACUUUGGUCAAGCUUACACUGUGUUAAUAGCCUGCAUCAAACCUUUAUUUAUUGCCCUUCUCCAAGUAUUAAGGAUCUUGAAAUUUUAGUGUUGACAACUGCUAUUGUGGAACAGCAAUCAUGACUGUGGGUAAGAGUAGCAAGAUGCUCCAGCAUAUUGACUAUAGAAUGAGAUGUAUCCUGCAAGAUGGAAGAAUCUUCAUUGGCACCUUUAAGGCUUUUGACAAGCAUAUGAAUUUGAUCCUCUGUGAUUGUGAUGAGUUCAGGAAGAUCAAGCCAAAGAAUGCAAAACAGCCAGAACGUGAAGAAAAACGGGUUUUGGGUCUGGUCUUGCUACGUGGAGAGAACUUGGUUUCCAUGACAGUGGAGGGUCCACCUCCUAAAGAUACUGGCAUUGCUCGUGUGCCACUUGCUGGUGCUGCAGGUGGCCCUGGUGUUGGAAGAGCAGCUGGCAGAGGAGUACCAGCAGGUGUACCUAUUCCCCAAGCUCCUGCUGGAUUAGCAGGCCCUGUCCGAGGAGUUGGAGGCCCAUCCCAGCAG